CGAGUCGCAUCCUUGAACGUGGCGCAGAAAUCACCGACUCCGCGUUGAUGUAUCGCGCAUCCGUGUCGCGAUAACGAUCUCGUUUCGGUAACGAUCGAAACUCGCUGCGAGGAUACAGUGCACCGUCUUCGAUAGGCAUCGCGGCUUCUCACAUGUGAGAGCCAUAGUAACUUGGCUGUAGAAUCUUUUAUGGCCAAGUGGAACAGAAGCCGGACGAAAUGAAACGGUUCUUUCAACGAAGAACAGAACGGAAACAGGAUACUGUGACACGUAGCAAGAGUACAGAAACCGAAAGGAUAGAAGAAGGACAAGAAUACCGCAAAGAAGAAUAAGAUGGAAUCGGAGCAGUGAUGUUUAAUCUUUUCUGUAUCAUAAACCGAUUACAAAAAUUCUAUGGCGCACAAAAUUAACACACAUAAAUUAAUUACUAAGGUUCUACACGCUAGAAAAUCUAUUGUAUUUGGUUCAUCUCAGACAGAACACUUACACCGG
rnacentral:misc_RNA from 1 species